ACUCAGCAGGGUAGGUGCCGGCUGUGUGAAUGUUUUCAUUUUUUGACAGCUAAAGCCUAGAUCUAUUGGUCAAACGGUUAGAGUAUCCCAGUGUUCCUUCAGUCAUAGUUGGCGCAAACUUGAAGUCAUAAUGAAACUACAUGGUCUAGAUACAAUCCAACCUACACACAUAAUAGCUGACCCAGAACUUCAUAUCAUAAGUUUCACGAAAUUGCAAUGCAAAAAUUUGAUACACGUUACAGCAGCUUGGACUUGAGAAUUGCACCAUGCCAUCCUAUAAAGCUGAACCAAUGAGAACCUUCUGUACAGAAACUCUUCCUUGUCUAGGUCACUUUGUUACAAGAAUAGUAUAUUGUACCCAAAUCUACUGAUGGACCAGUCUAAGAACAAAAAGACCACUCUUCCAGUGAUUUAAUGUCUACCGAACCAAUUUGUACAACCAGUUCCCACCAUUGGCUUAUUGUAUUGAAGAUUAUGUCUAGACCAUGUCAAGUUAGACCAAGUGUUUUACAUUUUAGUUUAUGUCAUUCAUACAAUUCCUUUACAAUAUUUGUGUUUAUUUAGUAAUAUGGUACCUUAUUAUAAGUAGGAUUUUAAAUGUAAUAUAAUUACCUGGAAAUGGGCACAGCUGUUCGAAAAAGAAAUCAUGUAUGACCUUUAGAAAUAACUCUUAAAUCUUUGCUGUGUAUGUAAUAUUGCCUUCAGGUUUCACUUAAAUAUGGUCGCCUAUCAGAUAAUUAAGUGAAAUCUUGAAAUAUGUAUAUGAGAAGUUAUAAAUCACCUGACCCCAACCUAAUUCCAUGCCCCUACCUCAACCCUCGAAUACUGCUGUCCACACUAUCCUUUCAUAUGAUGAUGUCACAAAAACAUUUUUUAUUUUUGUUUACCCCAACCCUAACCUUAUAAGUUCUCCAGGAUUUGGUAUGCAGGACACUGUCAUAAAUUAGGUUACUGCUGCUCCAUAAUUUAGUUUUUAACCAUAUUGUUAUAUGUUGACAAAGUUGAAAUGUUCACCGUACAUAAAUUUGAGAGGAUGCUAACUGUUUGC